rnacentral:rRNA from 1 species
UACGUAGGGUGCAAGCGUUGUCCGGAAUUAUUGGGCGUAAAGAGCUCGUAGGCGGUCUGUCGCGUCUGCUGUGAAAACUCGGGGCUUAACCCCGGCCUGCAGUGGGUACGGGCAGACUAGAGUGCGGUAGGGGAGACUGGAAUUCCUGGUGUAGCGGUGAAAUGCGUAGAUAUUGGGAGGAACACCAGUGGCGAAGGCGGCUCACUGGACCGGAACUGACGCUGAGGCGCGAAAGCGUGGGGAGCAAACAGG